ACACUCUGUCACUCUGUCACUCCACACUCUGUCACUCUGCACACUCUGUCACUCUGUCACUCUGUCACUCUGUCACUCCACACUCUGUCACUCUGUCACUCCGUCCUGCCUGUUCUAUCUGUCGGUUUGACUCAUUUGUUUUCCGUCUUUGUUUUUAGCUGUUAUAACUUUUAAAUGCUGGAAGGCGACCUGGGGUGUCCUGCAAGGCGCCUCUAAAUAAAAUGUAUUAUUAUUAUAAUAAAAUAGAAUAAUAAAGAAUGAAUUAAAUUAAUCUAACAUCAUUUCUAAAACUUGACAUCAGGAAUGAAUCGGACGUGAUUAUUAACGAUGGCGGUGUGUAAACGUUCUCAGGAUACUGAUACGUGAACUCACCUGAGGAGAACUGCUCACGUGAAGAAGAUCCACACGCUUACAAACUGUGUGUGUGUGUGUGUGUGUGUGUGUGUGUGUGUGUGUGUGUGUGUGUGUCACAGUUGCAGGAGCAGCUCCCUCAGAAGGUUCUCCCUCUGGUGUCCUCGGGGAUGAAGCCUCAGGCGUACCUGAGUCAGAACACGCUGGUGGAGAUGACGCUGGGGAUGAAGAAGCUGAAGGAGGAGAUGGAGGGCGUCGUCAAAGAGCUGGCAGAGAACAACCACUUCUUAGAGCGAUUCGGGACUCUGACGCUGGACGGAGGUCUGAGAGGUUGAAGCUUCGAUUCCUCGUGUUUCUUCAGAAGCUUCUUGUAAAUAUUCUGAGUGUUUAUCUUGUAAAUAACGUCGUCAGAAGAAGCUUUUUGUAUCUCCUGUGUUCAUGAACACACGGCUACCCUCCUUCAGACGCUGCUUUAGAAACCGCUUUGAGCGCUGUAAGUAUAUUUGUACCUGAAGAAAACCCUUAAAAUACUUUCACUUGAUCGUUAACUUACUUAAAGCUGCAGUUUGGUAGAAAAGAGCCUUAAAGAUCUUAAUGAACUACUUUAGAUUGCAUAUUAAUGACAUUAAUCAUCAGGUUAUUCAUUAAGGUGUGAUUAAAGUUGCCUGAAUUAAAUGUAAUAAAUUAAUUAACAGCACAUUUGGGAAAUCGUCAAUUUAAAAAUGAGGUAACUGUAAAGUUGUUUCCUUUAUAAAACUUUAAUACAUUAAAGUUUAUUAAUGUCAGACCUCUGAUGAAUAUCUGGAAACUCAAUAAUACUUAAGAUGGAUGAGAUUUCACGGGUGAAUUAAGAGUUUUUAAGGGAUUAUUGUGUUGGAUGUAAUAAUUGUCUAUUUAAUGGGUUUUCUGUGUUUAUGACAAUUUAAAAUACACAAAGUAACUAACAAACUAAUAACUUUCAUGUUAUUCGUCUAAUAUAAUCCACUUUCAAACAUCUCUCCGUCUUUACGUUUCUUCAUUACUUCACUAUUAAAGUGAAAUGUUUAGUAUAAGAAUGCUGAUUACAUUUGUUUCUUAUUUAUUGUUCUAAAAGGCCAAUAGUCCACGAGUUCUCAUGUAUCCAUAACUCUGGUCAGUAUGUUGAAAUCUUUAGAAGGAUUAAUGUUUUGUCAAUAAUCAUUUAAAAUGCUCAAUGAUUGUUUGAACUUGUAAAUAAAUAAAUAUCUUAAGAAAUCG